ACAGAGAAAUGAACUCUUAACCUAACAUGUAUUCAGAAGGUUUGUAUUGCAUUUUUAAAUUGGAAGUUUAAACCAGGAGGAAGGGCAGAUUACAAAACAUGUGUUAUGAUCAGUAACACCAUUUUGUUUUAAAUACAAUAAGUUGCAAAAAAACUAUAAUUAAACUGUACACUGUUACAAAAAAGAAACAUUUUUUAAAAAGUAGCCUAUUGGCUUGCAGUGUAACAAUAUAUUAUUUUUAAAUAUUUUAAUAUGCGAUAAUAUAAGCGCCAACUUCCCUAUAUAUAUAUAUUGUGAUCACAAGUUAGUGUUAAUAUAUAAACACAAAUAGUGUCUCAUUUACACAAAAACCUUAACAGUUUAUGUAUGGGUAAUGUAGAACUGUGUUUUACAAAAAUCAAUGUUGAACUUUUUCAAUCGUUACUAGAUUGAAGAAACAAGGUUAUGUUUAAUGUAAUCAGUGCUGCCAGAUUACUGCGGGUAAGGGCUUUUUGUUAUGGAGUGUAUCACUGUGAUACACUGGGAGUAGCUGGAGUGGCACAGUGAUAUAAUACCGUACAAAAACCUACUGCAUGUAAUACGGGAAGCACAUUGCUUUCUGACAUAAACUACUGAAACUGAACUCCCCUUCCUCCCCACAGAUUCAGAUUUUAAUAGAAAAAUUUCAAGUUGUUGUUGUUUUCUUUAAACAUUUAUUAUUUACACUUUCUUCAUUUUUGCACAGGUUUUCUGGCUGGGAUAGGAAUCUCUGCAAAGAAUAGAACACUUGGAUAUUCUCAUCUAAAUCCGGAACAUGGGAUUCUGCUUCUAAACAAAAAUGGGUCAAAUUAAAUUACAUAUGAAGACUGUGAGAAAGAAUUUGAGUUUUUGCUGGCAUUGUAAAGAGAAGAAACUACAGAUUCUCGCUGGGAUAGGAAUCUCUGCAAAGAAUAGAACACUUGGAUAUUCUCAUCUAAAUCCAGAACCUGGGAUUCUACUUUUAAACAAAAAUGGGUCAAAUUACAUUACAUAUGAAGACUGUGUGAAAGAAUUUUAAUUAUUGCUGGCAUUGUAAAGAGAAGAAACUACAGGUUUUCUCGCUGGGAUAGGAAUCCCUGCAAAGAAUAGAACACUUGGAUAUUCUCAUCUAAAUCUGGAACCUGGGAUUCUGCUUCUAAACAAGAAUGGGUCAAAUUAGAUUACAUAUGAAGACUGUGAGAAAGAAUGAAUUAUUGCUUGCAUUGUAAAAAGAAGAAACUACAGGGGAACACUUGUGCUGCACAGGACAUCUUAAUGAUAAGUCUGCCCUCCCCUCCAGCAAGUGUUCACAAGGCUUUAGCCAUUUCAAAAGAAACUUAGUACGUAUUUAUGAAAGAUUCAUAAAGAUU